rnacentral:rRNA from 1 species
GACGGAGGAUGCAAGUGUUAUCCGGAAUCACUGGGCGAAAGCGUCUGUAGGUGGUUUAAAAAGUCCACUGUUAAAAAUUUAAGCUUAACUUCAAAGAUGCCGUGGAAACUUUUAAACUUGAGUAUGGUAGGGGUAGAGGGAAUUUCCAGUGGAGCGGUGAAAUGCGUAGAUAUUGGAAAGACCACCAAUGGCGAAGGCAGCUCUACUGGGCCAUUACUGACACUGAGAGACGAAAGCUAGGGGAGCAAAUGGG